rnacentral:lncRNA from 1 species
CACCACCGAAGCUCUUUUGGAAUAGCUGGUGGAGUUCUUGUUUGCACCAAAUUCUUCUGAAUUAAAGCAGGAAACAACUCUAUAUAAGUCAUUGGAAUUUGGGUCAAAUUGUACAGGCCUUUGGGCAUGAUUCUACUGAUUUAUGUGUUGCUGGAAACACGGUUGAUAUCUUGGUGUUACUUGAGCAACUAGAGUAGAAUUAAUUAUUGGAGUUACAGACGUCAUGUGUUGAUGAGGUUGAUUGUUCCUCGGAAGCCUUCUAUGUUUCUCUUAUGAGAUAGUGU